AAGGAACCGAAGGGCGUGCCCUGGCCUCUUGCCAGGACGGGACGGCGACGAGAUUUGGGGAGUCUUUCGAGGAGCCGGUGAGAGACGAGGCGAUGACUGGAUGGCUGACGAGGAGAGGAGUCGAGGUCUUUUGGCAGCAGCUUAGCCGUGAAAGAGGCCAGAGAGCACCCGAGGGCGGUUUCCCAGGCAGCGGAAAGAGGAGGAGGACCAAGCCGAGCCCGGGGAAACCAAGCUUUCCUCCUGAAGUUUGGAUGCCUGCCCCUUGCACGUUGGUGCCCUUCCCCUUUCUUCCUACUGUCCCGGGAGUGGGCGCCCUCGCGCGCUUUCUGAUUCUGCAGCACUAAGCUCCUCGGAGACGGUGACAGCGUGGCAAACAGAAUCGGAAGCGUCCUUGGCCCACAGCCUGCGAUCCCACUGCUCUCCAGAGAAGUGACAUCCGUCCGCUUUAAGCUGGGUGACCACCUGCAGCGACACCCUUUUGAAAGCGUGAGCCAUAGCUAUUUCUUUGAAAGCUCCAGUAAAGCCGCAGAGAAACCUGUGACCUUUAGCACAAGGCCACUUCGUGCUAAGGAACCCACAGCGGGGGACCGGCUUUCCUGAAAGCGCCGUCGUCUCCUCUGCGGCUUGGGGAGCCUCUAGGGCUUGGACAGGCCUUGGAGCAGCCCGGCAGCACUCUUGGCGGGUGGCAGCAGCCAAGGUGUGCCCCUGGGCACGACGUCGCUCACGGCGUCUAAGAGAAGGUGCCCAGAC
rnacentral:lncRNA from 1 species